rnacentral:lncRNA from 1 species
ACAGGUAGAGAAAUCAGUCUCACUUCACCAAUAUAUUGAGGUUUAGCAUCUUUAUUUUUCUUUAAGCCUUAAUGUGGAAAAGAGCCUUUGUCAAAGUGGACAGAAUGAAAAUUUGAUAUGCACUUUUUCUUUCUCUUUAGCAGCUGAAUUUUCAAGAAGAACCAUUCAUUCUCAGCAUAUGAUGAAGGAAAAUAGCAUUUGAAUGCUGUAAGCAGUCAUGAACUGACACCACAUUGGAGCAUUUGAGUAAUUUAAGCUGCUUCUGAAGAUGGAAAAAGAAAAAGAAGAAGCUAUUGCAUUAACAGUUUUCUUCUUCAGGUAGGUGUCUUCAUUAAUUCUCAUUAAUAGCUCAUGAACAAGCAAUAACUGAAUCCUACAGAUAGUUACACAUUUAAAUACAUUUCAGUCAGGGGUUUUACCAUACUGAUUUUCUAGUUCCAUCUUUGCAGAGGUGGGUGCUUUAGUUAGCCUGGAGAGGACUAAGAAUUCUUAAACAUUAGAAGACAAGAAUUUUUAUUUUACAUGUACACAGAAGC